rnacentral:rRNA from 1 species
UACAGAGGGGGCGAGCGUUGUUCGGAAUUACUGGGCGUAAAGGGCGCGUAGGCGGCCAACUAAGUCAGACGUGAAAUCCCCAGGCUCAACCUGGGAACUGCGUCUGAUACUGGAUGGCUUGAAUCCGGGAGAGGGAUGCAGAAUUCCAGGUGUAGCGGUGAAAUGCGUAGAUAUCUGGAGGAAUACCGGUGGCGAAGGCGGCAUCCUGGACCGGCAUUGACGCUGAGGAGCGAAAGCUAGGGGAGCAAACGGG